rnacentral:rRNA from 4 species
CUUAACCUCAGAUCAGGCAAGAUUACCCG